rnacentral:rRNA from 1 species
CGAAAAGGAAUGAGCCCAGCGCAGAACGUUCCGGGGCACUCGCCCUGAGAAUGAAUGUUGCGUUAAGGAUAUUGGCAUACACCCAUGGCAGUUACACUUUGCUAAGUCAGCCUCGAAUGGUUCUCGUGAAGCCGGUAACACGGUGAGACUCCAGGGAGGGUGUUAGACCCGUGUGAAGGUGCAAUCUGCUUGGGCAAGCCGAUAUCCCGAGAGUCGCGUUGUUUGAACAUGCAGCGCUAAGCAGGUCGUAGACUCGAUCUAAGGCUAAAUAUGUCCACAGAACCGAUAGUUAACAAGUACCGUGAGGGAAAGUUGAAAAGCACUCCGUAACGGAGAGUCAAAAGACCGUGAAACCACUCAGAGUAUAAGCCAAUGGUGUCUGGAAGGUCCUGUGCUUACAUCUUGGUGUCAAGGACUCAUGCGAACCUCAGCACUUGCGGGAGCAAUCUCCGUUGCUUUGGUAAGCUUGUCCGCUGAAGCACUCCGUUGACCCACCUGGCUCGUUGUGAGGUGUCCUGAGAGCAAAGCGAAGUGUUAAGAUUGGCUUGGAGUUGGGCGUGGGCGUCUCGAUGCCUUUCGCACUCUCCUUUUCGAGCACUUCUUCAGUUCUAUUCGCACAAAGUGUGGUAGUCUUGGAGUGUGCGCUGCUUGACGCUCUCUGGAACCAUCCUCUGCGACGAAGCUUCAAUGCCUUAGUGAGCGGCCGUCUUCCUCCUCGGGAGUCGGUACAUUGGCGCGGCUUGCACACUGUCGGUGCUCCGCUGUUCAACUCUGGCGCAAGGUGUUACGUCCGAUACCAUUGGUCACGUCUCGAAACACGGGCCAAGGAGUAUAGCGUGUGUGCAAGUCUAAGGGUUCCACAAAACCUGGAGGCGUAGUGAAAGCGAGUUAUGGUGUCUCACUGGACUGAUGGAGAAGGCAGUGAUGCGUGAUCCCGCAAGUCCCGGACUCGUCGUCUGCACUGCUUCGGUUGUGUUAGCGCGAGCACCGCAGAGCACAUACGCUAUGACCCGAAAGAUAGUGAACUAUGCUUGGCGAGGGUGAAGCCCCAGGAAACUGGGGUGGAGGCCCGUAGCCGUUGUGACGUGCAAAUCCA